rnacentral:rRNA from 1 species
UACGUAGGCAGCAAGCGUUGUUCGGAGUUACUGGGCGUAAAGGGUGUGUAGGCGGUUUUCUAAGUCUGGUGUGAAAUCUCCCGGCUCAACUGGGAGGGUGCGCCGAAAACUGGAAGGCUAGAGUGCGGGAUGGGAGAGUGGAAUUCCUGGUGUAGCGGUGAAAUGCGUAGAUAUCGUAAGGAAGAACCAGUCGGCGGAAGGCGGGUCUCUGGACAGUCCCUGGACGCUGAGGCACGAAG